rnacentral:rRNA from 12 species
UUGAGCAGCCAUACCAUCCUGUGAAUGCCCAAUCCCGUCAGAUCUCAGAAGCUCAGCAGGGCCAGGCCUGGUUAGUACUUGGAUGGGAGACCGCCCUGGAAGACCACGGGCCGCUAGGC